UCCUGCUGAUCGUGGGCGCGGGAUACAGCACCGUUCAGCCCGGUGGCAGCAAGUCGGUGGCGUCGUGGUUCGACGCCUCCCGGCGGGGGC
rnacentral:tRNA from 1 species